GCAGCAGCCGCGGGAAUACAGAGGGUGCGAGCGUUAAUCGGAUUUACUGGGCGUAAAGCGUGCGUAGGCGGCUUUUUAAGUCGGAUGUGAAAUCCCUGAGCUUAACUUAGGAAUUGCAUUCGAUACUGGGAAGCUAGAGUAUGGGAGAGGAUGGUAGAAUUCCAGGUGUAGCGGUGAAAUGCGUAGAGAUCUGGAGGAAUACCGAUGGCGAAGGCAGCCAUCUGGCCUAAUACUGACGCUGAGGUACGAAAGCAUGGGGAGCAAACAGGAUUAGAUACCCCAGUAGUCCCUGUCUCUUAUAC
rnacentral:rRNA from 1 species